UGCGCAGGCGGGACUGCAAGUUGGAUGUGAAAUACCGAGGCUCAACCUCGGGGCUGCAUCCAAAACUGUAGUUCUUGAGUGGAGUAGAGGCAAGCGGAAUUCCGAGUGUAGCGGUGAAAUGCGUAGAUAUUCGGAGGAACACCAGUGGCGAAGGCGGCUUGCUGGGCUCUAACUGACGCUGAGGCACGAAAGCAUGGGGAGCAAACA
rnacentral:rRNA from 1 species